CUGUAACGAUGUCGAUUUGGAGGUGUCCCUUGAGGAGUGGCUUCCGGAGCUAACGCGUUAAUCGCCGCCUGGGGAGUACGGCCGCAAGGUUAAAACUCAAAUGAAUUGACGGGGGCCCGCACAAGCGGUGGAGCAUGUGGUUUAAUUCGAUGCAACGCGAAGAACCUUACCUACUCUUGACAUCCAGAGAAUUUAGCAGAGAUGCUUUAGUGCCUUCGGGAACUCUGAGACAGGUGCUGCAUGGCUGUCGUCAGCUCGUGUUGUGAAAUGUUGGGUUAAGUCCCGCAACGAGCGCAACCCUUAUCCUUUGUUGCCAGCACAUUAUGGUGGGAACUCAAAGGAGACUGCCGGUGAUAAACCGGAGGAAGGUGGGGAUGACGUCAAGUCAUCAUGGCCCUUACGAGUAGGGCUACACACGUGCUACAAUGGCGUAUACAAAGAGAAGCGACCUCGCGAGAGCAAGCGGAACUCAUAAAGUACGUCGUAGUCCGGAUUGGAGUCUGCAA
rnacentral:rRNA from 1 species